UCAACAGUUAAUAUUUUACAAUGUUUGCUCAUCACGUAUCUAUCCAUCUGGUCCACUGUCCACCCUUUAAUCCAUCUUAUUUCAUGUUUUAAUUGGAGGUCAUCUUACUUGAUGCACAGAUUUUUAUUCAUUUGGCAAAUAUGUAAGACCUCCCUCUAGGCACUUGGGAUGAAACAGUGAGCUAAAUACCAAAACGUUUCCUCUCAGGAGGCUGGACAUUUUGGGGGGAUUGAUGAUUGAUAGAAGAGUAACAAAACGUAUACAUAGGACAUUUUUAGGCGGCAAUAAAUGUUUUUAAGGAAACAGAAUAGGAUGAAAUGACUGAAUCUCUAAGACACAUUCCAGCUAGGAAAACAAAAAACAUUCUAGGUAUUUUAACAGAGGGAUUUAAUACAGGGAUUAUUUACCCAGGUGUAGAAAAGCUAAAAAAAAGCUUAAUAUUUCUUGAGAAAAGAACGCAGAGGUUAAGAGUUGCAAGAAACUGUUACCACUCCUAUGGUUGGAGGGACAGAGGGAAGAGGUGAUACUGCUAGUGCGCAAGUACGGGGACUGUUUGGUGGAAGUUAGAACCAUAGUCGUAGCUGUCCUGGAUGAUGUUGCUGGAGGAUAUGAGAAGACGGUAAGGGGAGCUCUCAAGGAGUUGGAACCACAUAGGAGACAAAGCCAUUAGCAGAAAAUGCUGCAAGAAGCAGGAAGAAAAACACAUACUCGAGUUCUUCCUUCUUCUUCUCCUCCAACCUUGCACCAGUGCCUCCAAAUUGGCUGAACCUGCUGAAAGCCGGUGGGAGAGAGCCUGGGAAAUGUAUUUCGGAGGCAUACACAACAGAGGAAGGUGUCUGGGGGCCCAGGACAAACCGGCAGUUGACAGCGUAGUGGCUUUUCAGAAACAAGUCUUGUCAGAAAUGUGACUUUUUCUGGGGAAAAUUGGACUAGAAGCGAGAACAAGAACUGUUUUCUGGGAAUUCCCUCUAUGGGAAAGUCAUGGUGGUAUCGACUGUAGAUUGGCAGAUGACAGAGGGCCUCUUUGAGGGGGUGCCAGAUGGCUGAGGAUGCCUGACCAGGGGCUGACAUCUCUGCACACAUCCUGGUGGAGAGGUUUCCAGGCUGAGCAAGGAGCCAGUAACAGCCAUGAAGACAGCACAGAGGAAGCUCUCCAGUGUUAUGAAGUUCAAGUUAGGGGUGAAGAUUCCUGAAGGCCCUGGUCCUAGGUCAUAGUUGUUCCUGAUUAAAGGGGAGACGGACAAGUGUUCAAAAGGGUCAAAGACAUAGUCCCCUCAAUUGAGACUUCCUUCUGAAAUUAAUCAGAAAGUUUAAAAGAGAGUUCUUCCUCAUUUUGUUAAUUACUUUCACAUAUUAAUAUAUAUUAACAUUUUAUAUGGUAAUAUGUUUUUGACAUUCCCCUCUAAAAUGUUCUCAUGGGCUGGCAGUGGUUUCUUAUAUUAUGGGAGCCCUACUCUUUACUGAAUUUUGUCCUUCUGUCAUAGGGUAAAACUUUUUCGUCUCUACAGAACUCUCUCCAAGUGCACACCCAUAGAUUGGUUUGCUUGUGGAAUCCUAGCAUAUCAGAAAUGAAGGAAUCUCAGAAAUUGUUUUCAUCAAACACCUCAUAUGCAGAAGGCAAAAUGAAGGUUCAGAGCAGAAAUGAUUUGUCCAAGGAUGCAACACUCAUCUGCAGCAGAGGGAAGCUGAGCUCUGCAGACCCACCUAGCACUGCAGAGGCAGCCCUCUAGGACAAGGCUUCAUAAAAAAGUGACUUUAUGAGUUGGCUCCAUAAAAAAGAUACAGAUUAAGAAAUUGUUUAAACAGUGAUCUCUAUAUAAUUACUCUUUUAUUUAAAAGUAUGGGCUGGGAGCGGUGGCUGACGCCUGUAAUCCCAGCACUUUGGGAGGCCGAUGUGAGCAGAUAACCUGAGGUCGGGAGUUAGAGACCAGCCUGACCAACAUGGAGAAACUCCGUCUCUACUAAAAAUACAAAAUUAGCAGGGUGUGGUGGUGCAUGCCUGUAAUCCCAGCUACUCGGGAGGCUGAGGCAGGAGAACUGCUUGAACCCAGGAGGCAGAGGUUGUGGUGAGCCGAGAUCGCGCCAUUGCACUCCAGCCUGGGCAACAAGAGCGAAACUCUGUCUCAAAAUAAAUAAAUAAAUAAGUAUUCCUUUCCCAGUCUUUUGCUGUGUGGAGCCAAGAUUUUUAUUUGCAGAAGUCUGCAGGGCUGGUGUGAUCUCUUUCAGUCAUAAACCAUAACCUUCCUAACGGGCCAUCUGCAAUAUCCAGUUGUGUUUUCUCGAAUGUGG
rnacentral:lncRNA from 1 species